AGAGUUUGAUCCUGGCUCAGAACGAACGCUGGCGGCAGGCCUAACACAUGCAAGUCGAGCGAGACCUUCGGGUCUAGCGGCGGACGGGUUAGUAACGCGUGGGAACGUGCCCUUUACUACGGAAUAGUCCCGGGAAACUGGGUUUAAUACCGUAUACGCCCUUCGGGGGAAAGAUUUAUCGGUAAAGGAUCGGCCCGCGUUAGAUUAGAUAGUUGGUGGGGUAAUGGCCUACCAAGUCUACGAUCUAUAGCUGGUUUGAGAGGAUGAUCAGCAACACUGGGACUGAGACACGGCCCAGACUCCUACGGGAGGCAGCAGUGGGGAAUCUUGGACAAUGGGCGCAAGCCUGAUCCAGCCAUGCCGCGUGAGUGACGAAGGCCUUAGGGUCGUAAAGCUCUUUCGCCAGGGAUGAUAAUGACAGUACCUGGUAAAGAAACCCCGGCUAACUCCGUGCCAGCAGCCGCGGUAAUACGGAGGGGGUUAGCGUUGUUCGGAAUUACUGGGCGUAAAGCGCACGUAGGCGGACUGGAAAGUUGGGGGUGAAAUCCCGGGGCUCAACCUCGGAACUGCCUCCAAAACUACUAGUCUAGAGUUCGAGAGAGGUGAGUGGAAUUCCGAGUGUAGAGGUGAAAUUCGUAGAUAUUCGGAGGAACACCAGUGGCGAAGGCGGCUCACUGGCUCGAUACUGACGCUGAGGUGCGAAAGUGUGGGGAGCAAACAGGAUUAGAUACCCUGGUAGUCCACACCGUAAACGAUGAAUGCCAGUCGUCAGCAAGCAUGCUUGUUGGUGACACACCUAACGGAUUAAGCAUUCCCGCCUGG
rnacentral:rRNA from 1 species